GACGAACGCUGGCGGCGUGCCUAAUACAUGCAAGUUGAGCGCUGAAGGUUGGUACUUGUACCGACUGGAUGAGCAGCGAACGGGUGAGUAACGCGUGGGGAAUCUGCCUUUGAGCGGGGGACAACAUUUGGAAACGAAUGUUAAUACCGCAUAAAAACUUUAAACACAAGUUUUAAGUUUGAAAGAUGCAAUUGCAUCACUCAAAGAUGAUCCCGCGUUGUAUUAGCUAGUUGGUGAGGUAAAGGCUCACCAAGGCGAUGAUACAUAGCCGACCUGAGAGGGUGAUCGGCCACAUUGGGACUGAGACACGGCCCAAACUCCUACGGGAGGCAGCAGUAGGGAAUCUUCGGCAAUGGACGAAAGUCUGACCGAGCAACGCCGCGUGAGUGAAGAGGGUUUUCGGAUCGUAAAACUCUGUUGGUAGAGAAGAACGUUGGUGAGAGUGGAAAGCUCAUCAAGUGACGGUAACUACCCAGAAAGGGACGGCUAACUACGUG
rnacentral:rRNA from 1 species